CCUACGGGAGGCUGCAGUAGGGAAUCUUCCACAAUGGGCGAAAGCCUGAUGGAGCACCGCCGCGUGGGUGAAGAAGGUCUUCGGAUCGUAAAACCCUGUUGUUAGAGAAGAAAGUGCGUGAGAGUACCUGUUCACGUUUCGACGGUAUCUAACCAGAAAGCCACGGCUAACUACGUGCCAGCAGCCGCGGUAAUAAGUAGGUGGCAAGCGUUAUCCGGAUUUAUUGGGCGUAAAGGGAACGCAGGCGGUCUUGUAAGUCUGAUGUGAAAGCCUUCGGCUUAACCGGAGUAGUGCAUUGGAAACGGGGAGACGUGAGUGCAGAAGAGGAGAGUGGAACUACAUGUGUAGCGGUGAAAUGCGUAGAUAUAUGGAAGAACACGAGUGGCGAAGGCGACUCUCUGGUCUGUAACUGACGCUGAGGUUCGAAAGCGUGGGUAGCAAACAGGAUUAGAGACCCUGGUAGUC
rnacentral:rRNA from 1 species